AUAAAACAGACAGAGGCCACAUGCUUGGCCUUUUCCCUUCACCCACCUACGCUGCAAGCAAUAAGGACACUCUGAAAACUCCAGCUGAGGGGACUGGCCCAGGUUUCAAGGGUGAAAUCUGUGUACUAUGAACUGCAGUAUCCAGUGGGGACAGAUGAGCCCAAGCUGCAGAAUUCAGAUCUGGAUCCAAACUGUUCUGAAAUCUGAGACUAUGCAAACUCGGGGGUCUGAUUUAGCUCACUGCAGAGAUUGGGGGCAAUCAGGAAUUUCAGAUUCAAGCUUCCCCAAAGCUCCAGGCUAUCGAGAUCCAGAGCUUCGGUUCUGACCCUAAUUUUUGGAUGGCAGUUUGACAACACAACGUAUUUCAAAACACAGGGCAGGCCUACUCACGGGAAGCUUGGAAAAACCAUUCUGUUGAGAUGCAUCUAGACCAUAUGUUCUGUAUUUUUCUUCACUCAUUUAUGUAAGCAGGGAUAUUUGCAUGAAAACAGGCUAACAGCA